CGAGGGGCAGCAUGGUCUUAGCUUGCUAAGGCCGAUGGCGACCGGCGCACGGGUGAGUAACACGUAUCCAACCUGCCGUCUACUCUUGGACAGCCUUCUGAAAGGAAGAUUAAUACAAGAUGGCAUCAUGAGUCCGCAUGUUCACAUGAUUAAAGGUAUUCCGGUAGACGAUGGGGAUGCGUUCCAUUAGAUAGUAGGCGGGGUAACGGCCCACCUAGUCUUCGAUGGAUAGGGGUUCUGAGAGGAAGGUCCCCCACAUUGGAACUGAGACACGGUCCAAACUCCUACGGGAGGCAGCAGUGAGGAAUAUUGGUCAAUGGGCGAGAGCCUGAACCAGCCAAGUAGCGUGAAGGAUGACUGCCCUAUGGGUUGUAAACUUCUUUUAUAAAGGAAUAAAGUCGGGUAUGUAUACCCGUUUGCAUGUACUUUAUGAAUAAGGAUCGGCUAACUCCGUGCCAGCAGCCGCGGUAAUACGGAGGAUCCGAGCGUUAUCCGGAUUUAUUGGGUUUAAAGGGAGCGUAGAUGGAUGUUUAAGUCAGUUGUGAAAGUUUGCGGCUCAACCGUAAAAUUGCAGUUGAUACUGGAUAUCUUGAGUGCAGUUGAGGCAGGCGGAAUUCGUGGUGUAGCGGUGAAAUGCUUAGAUAUCACGAAGAACUCCGAUUGCGA
rnacentral:rRNA from 1 species